rnacentral:lncRNA from 1 species
GGUUCCGUCACGUUAUAUGUCAGUGACGACAGCCGCGGUGGUCCCAUUAUUAAUGUGUGAGAUGGACCAGAUUGUAAAGUUGAAAUCUAACGAUAGAUAGCAUUCAGAUGUGCACCUAAAGAACCUUGAUAUAAUUAUUGCUAAAAUAUAUUGCCCAAGUGGGAGAUUGUUGGAAUAUUUAGUUAUAAUUAUUUAAUUAUAAUAUUCCAAUAAUUAUUAUGUGGGCAUAUAUAUCUAAUUUUAAUUAUAUUAGCUAUUUAUCUUUAAGGGCCUUAAUUGAUUAGUGAUCAUAUAAUGAAAAAGGCUUAUUAGGUUUCUAUUAAAAUAAUAAUUAAUUAUUUAAGUGAUAUGGGCUUGGAUCGGGUGGAUGUCCGGAUGGUCCAUUAACGGAAUAAUGGGAAACCCUAAUGGCCAUCCUAUAUAAUGAGGCUAUGGUCCCCAAUAUACCGUACACAGCAAAACCGCUCUUCUCCCCAUCUGAAGCGCAUUAGGGCAUCGAGGUACCGGUUGAGGAAGAACCUAACUAGCCGCCGCUGACUUUGCUUUUGUUUCAGAUCACUGCUGCCGGAAAACUCUUUUAUCAUGGAUCCAGGUAUUACUAUGACCUUGAACUUUUAUAUUUCAGUAAAUCAAACAUGUUGUAUCUGAUCAUAAACUUGUUCAACAAUUUGCUUCCGCUGUUGAUUGAUAAAUUAAAUUAUAUGUAUUGAACUGUUUAUGAAAUUUGCUAACA